UAAUACGGAGGGCGCGAGCGUUGUCCGGAAUCACUGGGCGUAAAGGGCGCGUAGGCGGCCCUGGUAAGUCUGCGGUGAAAGCCCGGGGCUCAACCCCGGGUCGGCCGCGGGUACUGCCGGGCUGGAGCACUGUAGGGGCGGGCGGAAUUCCGGGUGUAGCGGUGGAAUGCGUAGAGAUCCGGAAGAACACCGGUGGCGAAGGCGGCCCGCUGGGCAGUGGCUGACGCUGAGGCGCGACAGCGUGGGGAGCAAACAGGAUUAGAUACCCUGGUAGUCCACGCCGUAAACGAUGGGCACUAGGUGCCUGGGGGAGCGACCCCCCGGGUGCCGGCGCUAACGCAUUAAGUGCCCCGCCUGGGGAGUACGGCCGCAAGGCUG
rnacentral:rRNA from 1 species